GGAUUUGGAGACUAAGGUGUUGCUUAUUCUUGGAGGGUCUUUGGGUGCAAAUGCUAUUAAUAUUGCCGUGUUGAAUCUAUAUUAUCUGAUGUUGUUGGAGAACAAGAAUUUGUAUAUUAUAUGGCAGACUGGUGUGAAGACAUUUGAUGAGAUGGACAGCCUUGUGAAGAACCAUCCGAAUCUGCAUUUAACACCGUAAUUCUUUACUCAGUAUUA
rnacentral:misc_RNA from 1 species